GAUGAACGCUGGCGGCGUGCCUAAUACAUGCAAGUCGAGCGAACAGACGAGGAACUUGCUCCUCUGACGUUAGCGGCGGACGGGUGAGUAACACGUGGAUAACCUACCUAUAAGACUGGGAUAACUUCUGGAAACCGGAGCUAAUACCGGAUAAUAUAUUGAACCGCAUGGUUCAAUAGUGAAAGACGGUUUUGCUGUCACUUAUAGAUGGAUCCGCGCCGCAUUAGCUAGUUGGUAAGGUAACGGCUUACCAAGGCAACGAUGCGUAGCCGACCUGAGAGGGUGAUCGGCCACACUGGAACUGAGACACGGUCCAGACUCCUACGGGAGGCAGCAGUAGGGAAUCUUCCGCAAUGGGCGAAAGCCUGACGGAGCAACGCCGCGUGAGUGAUGAAGGUCUUCGGAUCGUAAAACUCUGUUAUUAGGGAAGAACAAAUGUGUAAGUAACUAUGCACGUCUUGACGGUACCUAAUCAGAAAGCCACGGCUAACUACGUG
rnacentral:rRNA from 1 species